UACAGAGGGUGCGAGCGUUAAUCGGAUUUACUGGGCGUAAAGCGUACGUAGGCGGCUUUUUAAGUCUGAUGUGAAAUCCCUGAGCUUAACUUAGGAAUUACAUUCGAUACUGGGAAGCUAGAGUAUGGGAGAGGAUGGUAGAAUUCCAGGUGUAGCGGUGAAAUGCGUAGAGAUCUGGAGGAAUACCGAUGGCGAAGGCAGCUGGCUAAACAUAUAUUGACGCUGAGGCACGAAAGCGUGGGUAGCGAACAGG
rnacentral:rRNA from 1 species